rnacentral:tRNA from 1 species
GGACGUUUAGCUCAGUUGGGAGAGCAUCGCCUUUACACGGCGGGGGUCAUAGGUUCGAGUCCUGUAACGUCCACCA